GAAGACCGGUAACGUCGACCGCCCGAACAAGGAGAGGCAUCGUCUUCGGUAGAAGUCGUGACAAGUACAGCGCCUGUCGAGGUGGACCCAGUUGAGAAUGGGUGUCAACAGAUUCUGAUCCCAUCAACAUCAAGCUCCGCACCAAUAACUAAUGUGUCGCCCAUCUUCCCCAUUAUCCCCUGUGUAUUUAUACUGGUGUUCUGUUUGUCUGUUGCCAGUUGGUUUUGUUCGUUGAACCUACCAGCGUUUUCUUGUUUUUCCUGGCUUUGACCCUUCUGCCUGCCCUGACCUUGAGCCUGCCUGCCGUCCUGUACCUUUGCCCCACUACUCUGGAUUACCGACC